rnacentral:rRNA from 1 species
AGUCGAGCGCGAAUAGGGGCAACCCUUAGUAGAGCGGCGCACGGGUGCGUAACACGUGGAUAAUCUGCCUGGAUGCCUGGGAUAACCAGUCGAAAGAUUGGCUAAUACCGGAUAAGCCCACGGUUUCUUCGGAGACUGAGGGAAAAGGUGGCCUCUGUAUACAAGCUAUCACAACCAGAUGAGUCCGCGGCCCAUCAGCUAGUUGGCGGGGUAAUGGCCCACCAAGGCGACGACGGGUAGCUGGUCUGAGAGGACGAUCAGCCACACUGGAACUGAGACACGGUCCAGACUCCUACGGGAGGCAGCAGUGGGGAAUUUUGCGCAAUGGGCGAAAGCCUGACGCAGCAACGCCGCGUGUGUGAUGAAGGUCUUUGGAUUGUAAAGCACUUUCGACCGGGACGAAACCGUAAAGCCUAAUACGCUUUGCCUUGACGGUACCGGGAGAAGAAGCACCGGCUAACUCUGUGCCAGCAGCCGCGGUAAUACAGAGGGUGCAAGCGUUGUUCGGAAUUAUUGGGCGUAAAGCGCGUGUAGGCGGCUUUGCAAGUCGGGUGUGAAAGCCCUCAGCUCAACUGAGGAAGUGCGCCCGAAACUGCAGAGCUUGAGUGCCGGAGAGGGUGGCGGAAUUCCCCAAGUAGAGGUGAAAUUCGUAGAUAUGGGGAGGAACACCGGUGGCGAAGGCGGCCACCUGGACGGUAACUGACGCUGAGACGCGAAAGCGUGGGUAGCAAACAGGAUUAGAUACCCUGGUAGUCCACGCCGUAAACGAUGAGAACUAGGUGUCGUGGGAGUUGACCCCC